UCAUCUUCAUUACACCUUCCUCACACUUGUAUUUAUUUGCCCUUUCUAUUUUCUUGAGGAACCCCGACAGACUCAACAUCCCGCACGGCGCUCGACCCAAACUGUGGCAGAGCUCGACCCAGACGGUGGCGAAGCUCGACCCAGACGGUAUAUUUCUCAUAUUUGUCUUUCUCUUUGCUUUGCUGGAUAUUUGAAAGCCCUAAUUAAUUGUGAACCCAUAACUGAAAUCGCCGAGGGAAUUGCUUCGGCGUCGGAAUUAGAUGGUGGUGGUGGAACCUUGGUCGGUAUCCAACGGUGGUUAUCAAGUCUUGGUUGGUGGGCAGCGGGCUUGGUGGCAUAGCAAGAGGCAGGCUGGAAGUGGACGAAGAAUGUGAGUUGGAAAAUGCAAACCGAUUCUGUGAAGAUAAUAGUUCGUGAUUUUGUGUGGUGAGGUCUAAAGGGUUUAUUGUGUUUUUAUCUACGUGUCAGCGUCUGAUUGGAGGGCUGCUAUUCCAGGCUUUACAGCCGGACCGCUUCGUAGCGUUUCUGAU